GAUGAACGCUGGCGGCGUGCUUAACACAUGCCAGUCGAACGAGAAAUUUAGACGGAUACCUUUGGGCGGAGGCCAUUUUUUCGAUUGGUGGCGGGGGGAGUAACGACUGGGUAAUCUGCCGCCUUCAGGAGGGUAACAGUAGGAGAAGACUGCUACUACUACCGAAUAACAGAGCAUCGCAGGAUGCGGCGGUAAGAAGUCCGGGGGUAUAAGAUGGACCAGCGGUGGAUUAGCCAGUUGGCGGGGUAACGGCCGACCAACGCGACGAUCAAUAGCCGACCUGAGAGGGUGACCGGCCACAUUGGGACUGAGACACGGCCCAAACUCCUACGGGAGGCAGCAGUGGGGAAUAUUGCACAAUGGGGGAAAGCCUGAUGCAGCGACGCCGCGUGAGUGAAGAAGUACUUCGGUAUGUAAAGCUCUAUCAGCAGGGAAGAAAAUGACGGUACCUGACUAAGAAGCACCGGCUAACUACGUG
rnacentral:rRNA from 1 species